rnacentral:rRNA from 1 species
GAUGAACGCUGGCGGCGUGCCUAAUACAUGCAAGUCGAGCGAACAGACGAGGAUCUUGCUCCUCUUACGUUAGCGGCGGACGGGUGAUUAACACGUGGCUAACCUACCUAUAAGACUGGGAUAACUUCGGGAAACCGGAGCUAAUACCGGAUAAUAUAUUGAACCGCAUGGUUCAAUAGUGAAAGACGGUUUUGCUGUCACUUAUAGAUGGAUCCGCGCCGCAUUAGCUAGUUGGUAAGGUAACGGCUUACCAAGGCAACGAUGCGUAGCCGACCUGAGAGGGUGAUCGGCCACACUGGAACUGAGACACGGUCCAGACUCCUACGGGAGGCAGCAGUAGGGAAUCUUCCGCAAUGGGCGAAAGCCUGACGGAGCAACGCCGCGUGAGUGAUGAAGGUCUUCGGAUCGUAAAACUCUGUUAUUAGGGAAGAACAAAUGUGUAAGUAACUAUGGACGUCUUGACGGUACCUAAUCAGAAAGCCACGGCUAACUACGUG